AUUGAACGCUGGCGGCAGGCCUAACACAUGCAAGUCGAACGAGUGGCGGACGGGUGAGUAAUGUCUGGGAAACUGCCCGAUGGAGGGGGAUAACUACUGGAAACGGUAGCUAAUACCGCAUACCAUCGGAUGUGCCCAGAUGGGAUUAGCUAGUAGGUGGGGUAACGUCUCACCUAGGCGACGAUCCCUAGCUGGUUUGAGAGGAUGACCAGCCACACUGGAACUGAGAAACGGUCAAGACUCCUACGGGAGGCAGUAGUGGGGCAUGUGGGACAAUGGGCGCAAGCCUGAUACGGCCAUGCCGCGUGUAUGAGUAAGGCCUUCGGGUUGUAAAGUUCUUUCGGUAGCGAGGCGUUAACUACAGAAGAAGCACCGGCUAACUCCGUGCCAGCAGCCGCGGUAAUUC
rnacentral:rRNA from 1 species